UUGAGCCGUGUGCAGGGAAACCGGCAUGCACGGUUCUUAGGAGAGCGAGUCGCAGACACGCGCCUUACGCGACGUCCUGU
rnacentral:ncRNA from 1 species